rnacentral:rRNA from 1 species
CCUACGGGAGGCUGCAGUGGGGAAUAUUGGGCAAUGGGCGCAAGCCUGAACCAGCAACGCCGCGUGAAGGAAGAAGGCUUUCGGGUUGUAAACUUCUUUUAUCAGGGACGAAACAAGUGACGGUACCUGAUGAAUAAGCCACGGCUAACUACGUGCCAGCAGCCGCGGUAAUACGUAGGUGGCAAGCGUUAUCCGGAUUUACGGGGUGUAAAGGGCGUGUAGGCGGGAGUGCAAGUCAGAUGUGAAAACGAUGGGCUCAACCCAUAGCCUGCAGUUGAAACUGUACGUCUUGAGUGCUGGAGAGGCAAGCGGAAUGCCGGGUGUAGCGGUGAAAUGCGUAGAUAUACGGAGGAACACCAGUGGCGAAGGCAGAUUGCUGGACAGUAACUGACGCUGAGGCGCGAAAGCGUGGGGAGCAAACAGGAUUAGAUACCCCAGUAGUC